CACGUGGGUAACCUGCCCAAGAGACUGGGAUAACACCUGGAAACAGAUGCUAAUACCGGAUAACAACACUAGACGCAUGUCUAGAGUUUAAAAGAUGGUUCUGCUAUCACUCUUGGAUGGACCUGCGGUGCAUUAGCUAGUUGGUAAGGUAACGGCUUACCAAGGCAAUGAUGCACAGCCGAGUUGAGAGACUGAUCGGCCACAUUGGGACUGAGACACGGCCCAAACUCCUACGGGAGGCAGCAG
rnacentral:rRNA from 1 species